CAGGAUGAACGCUAGCUACAGGCUUAACACAUGCAAGUCGAGGGGCAGCAGAUCGAAAGCUUGCUUUGAUGCUGGCGACCGGCGCACGGGUGAGUAACGCGUAUCCAACCUUCCCUAUAGUAGAGGAUAGCCCGGCGAAAGUCGGAUUAAUACUCUAUGUUUUCCAAUGCAGACAUCUAAGUUGGAACAAAGGUUUACCGCUAUAGGAUGGGGAUGCGUCUGAUUAGAUAGUAGGCGGGGUAACGGCCCACCUAGUCGACGAUCAGUAGGGGUUCUGAGAGGAAGGUCCCCCACAUUGGAACUGAGACACGGUCCAAACUCCUACGGGAGGCAGCAGUGAGGAAUAUUGGUCAAUGGGCGAGAGCCUGAACCAGCCAAGUAGCGUGCAGGAUGACGGCCCUAUGGGUUGUAAACUGCUUUUAUGCGGGGAUAAAGUUCGCCACGUGUGGCGUUUUGUAGGUACCGCAUGAAUAAGGACCGGCUAAUUCCGUGCCAGCCGCUGC
rnacentral:rRNA from 1 species